rnacentral:sRNA from 1 species
UAAGAGAAAAAGUCGAGCGGAUGGAACGGAGCUUGCUCCGGGAAGUUAUUGCCGGACGGGUGAGUAACACGUGGGCAAUCUGCCUGACAGACUGGGAUAACGCUUGGAAACGAGUGCUAAUACCAGAUAGUCUUCGAGGUCACAUGACCUUGAAGGGAAAGAAGCGAUCGCUUCACUGUUAGAUGAGCCCGCGGCGCAUUAGCUAGUUGGUGAGGUAACGGCUCACCAAGGCGACGAUGCGUAGCCGACCUGAGAGGGUGACCGGCCACACUGGGACUGAGACACGGCCCAGACUCCUACGGGAGGCAGCAGUGGG